GUAUUUAAACUAACAACACAUUACAAUACAAUAGGUAACAACCAUCCAAACAAGCUGUAAAAGUCUUUUGAAAACGCCUUAAUCUUCUCUGCUUCCUCCCACUCGCUCGCUACGGUAACGCCUUAAUCGCUCUGAUUUCCUUUCUCCUCUUACAUUUUUGUCCCGCAUACCCACAACAGCCACAUCCUCUCUGAACAAGGCUCUGAGUUACUACUGCCCCAUAUUUGAGUGCCCAAACCUGCCACUCUCUCUGAAUGCCCAUGGACUUGGCUCCGAAACUUCAAGCUACUCUUUCCCCAACUUUGUUUUCCCCGUUAAUAUAUUUUUUUCAGUCAAAAUUCACUAUACUAUAUACGCUUACAUUGAUGUUUAAACUUCAUCACGAGGCUUUGCUUUUUUCCCCUCUUCAUUCAUGAGAAGUUAUCAUAGCUAGGAUAUUCUGCUAACUUUUUUGAAAUAAUUUGUGUCGGAUGAAGUACUCGGUAUUGGCACCGCUUGUGAGUCAUAAUAUGCACAUACUUUAUGAGCAAAAAUGAAAGCAAGAGGGACAUUGUAUGCAUAAUCAUUCUCCCACUUUUACUCUCGAAAAUAAUUGACCGCCGUCUAUGCAAAUCUAUAUCCCGCUACAGCACUGCCAAGAGUAAUAAUUGAAUCGUUGAUAAGACCAUCGAAUUUGAUCAAGUUAACAGACAAAGUAACUGGUAUGUACUUCUUACUGUUACGCGCCUCAUUCUUUAUCUACACCACUGUACGAGGAAAUGAUACGAUAAGAAUAAACAAAUGAUGUUGCAAAAUUUCUUUGUAUAUCAUUUUUUUAACUCCAAGAGAAAGUAAACAUUGGUAUGAUUAAUGCUGGUGAAAAUUAGAUUUUCAAUAGUGCAACAUUUUCUCCUUUUGCAAAACCCUUCCACUCCUCCGUUUGUUCUACCAAAAGCACAGACAACAAAAUCGAAUAGAGAGAAAGCUAUACCGAUCUGAAAAUACCCAAUUUUUCUUGAAAAAUUGUUUUUCCUGGUUAGUCUUUUUCACUAUCAAUAUGAUGAUUGACAAUGUAGGUUUGAACGUCCAAGUGCCUCCCACUUUAUGGUAAGCUACCUUUUGUUGUAAUCUUUUGUUUGAUAAUGAUGGUGUCAAUAACAAUUCUUUUGAUAAUGGUGAGGUCAAUUAUACAACUUUUCUGUAGAAUCUGUUAUACUACAAAUUACAUAGGUUCAUUGGAUUUUAAUUGAUAUCUAUAAAAUUAAACUUAAAUCUAUUUUGAUUAGCCCAAUCUCUUCGUAUGUUGUGAUAUUGUUCAGAUUGAUAGUGGAAAGCAACUUGGAAUUCUACAAUGGAACCUUUCAAAUUCUUGCAAAUCUGAACCUUUCAAUCAAGAAGGCUUACACCUUACUUCUCCUGUGAUGGUUGGUCGUUUAUGGACGGGACUAUUAAUUGCAUUAUCGUUAUAAAUCGCAAGUUGGUUGCAUAUCUUCUUGAUGAUGUCUAUGUGAGUAGGCUCCUGCCAAAUUUACCGUGUGCCAGGUUGGAACCGGAUAUGCUUGCAUUCUCCGGAUGCUAUUAUGGAGGAGGAUACAAGGAAAGGAGACAACUAGGUAAAAUACGAAAGAGGUAGAAGAUGUUAAAUGUGAGUCACUGCCUAUUUCACAAGGAGGAAUUGGCACCAUUCUCUUCCUUCUCUUCAAGAAUGGCUGCUUUAGAUUACAUUGUUUGUGAUGAGAGUGAUGAUUUUAUAUCCAAUAACUAUGGUAAUAUGGAAAGAAUGCUUGUUGGAAGAAUGAGAUAUAUCGAUGACAAGCCAACUAUCCGCCCAUAUGCGAAGAGUUGUUCCUUAAUCGAAAUAACAUGAGAUUGGAAGAGUUUGCCUCACAAGUUCGAUCUCAAAUAGGUUUCAUGGGCCAGCCAAUGGAGGUAAAGCCAGAUA